rnacentral:rRNA from 1 species
AGAGUUUGAUCAUGGCUCAGAUUGAACGCUGGCGGCAGGCUUAACACAUGCAAGUCGAGCGGGGGAAGGUAGCUUGCUACUGGACCUAGCGGCGGACGGGUGAGUAAUGCUUAGGAAUCUGCCUAUUAGUGGGGGACAACAUCUCGAAAGGGAUGCUAAUACCGCAUACGUCCUACGGGAGAAAGCAGGGGAUCUUCGGACCUUGCGCUAAUAGAUGAGCCUAAGUCGGAUUAGCUAGUUGGUGGGGUAAAGGCCUACCAAGGCGACGAUCUGUAGCGGGUCUGAGAGGAUGAUCCGCCACACUGGGACUGAGACACGGCCCAGACUCCUACGGGAGGCAGCAGUGGGGAAUAUUGGACAAUGGGGGGAACCCUGAUCCAGCCAUGCCGCGUGUGUGAAGAAGGCCUUAUGGUUGUAAAGCACUUUAAGCGAGGAGGAGGCUACUUUAGUUAAUACCUAGAGAUAGUGGACGUUACUCGCAGAAUAAGCACCGGCUAACUCUGUGCCAGCAGCCGCGGUAAUACAGAGGGUGCGAGCGUUAAUCGGAUUUACUGGGCGUAAAGCGUGCGUAGGCGGCUUAUUAAGUCGGAUGUGAAAUCCCCGAGCUUAACUUGGGAAUUGCAUUCGAUACUGGUGAGCUAGAGUAUGGGAGAGGAUGGUAGAAUUCCAGGUGUAGCGGUGAAAUGCGUAGAGAUCUGGAGGAAUACCGAUGGCGAAGGCAGCCAUCUGGCCUAAUACUGACGCUGAGGUACGAAAGCAUGGGGAGCAAACAGGAUUAGAUACCCUGGUAGUCCAUGCCGUAAACGAUGUCUACUAGCCGUUGGGGCCUUUGAGGCUUUAGUGGCGCAGCUAACGCGAUAAGUAGACCGCCUGGGGAGUACGGUCGCAAGACUAAAACUCAAAUGAAUUGACGGGGGCCCGCACAAGCGGUGGAGCAUGUGGUUUAAUUCGAUGCAAC